AUGGUUUCUUACUCCUUCUUUUCUGGAACAUCUCCGCUAUCAUCAAUAUUCAAUUUUCCCUCAGCUUCUAAUAGAUGGAAAUGCCAAUGCCAAGGUGGGCAGGUACGCACAGGUAGCCCCAGGGGUACCCCCAUCCCUGCUCCAGGACCCCCUCCCUCUUCCCACACAGGUGUGAGGGGCAGCCCCACCUGCACCGCUCCUCCCAAGGGAAUGGGAUGUGUGCAGCUCCCAGCCCAGCGUCCUGCUGGAGAUCCCAACUCACCUCAUGCCUCUGCCCAAGUCCUUGUGCAGCCCGCCAUGUUCCUGCCUCUCCUCAUGGAUCCGCGGCUCAGCCCAGAACCACUUUUAGAAGUACAAGACAAGUGAAGGAAAAAUGUUUACAAACUUCUGUGGAAAGCCAAAUGCAAAACCUUCUCCAGCUGAGGUAAGUUGAACUGAGGCUCAUCCUUCUGGAGCUGGGACUCUGACAUUGUGCCCUGCUGUACACGGGGAUAAGAG
rnacentral:lncRNA from 1 species